GAUGAACGCUAGCGGCAGGCUUAAUACAUGCAAGUCGAGGGGCAGCGGGGUAGCAAUACCGCCGGCGACCGGCAAACGGGUGCGGAACACGUACAGAACCUUCCUUUAAGCGGGGGAUAGCCCAUAGAAAUGUGGAUUAAUACCCCAUAGUAAUGUUUAAUGGCAUCAUUAGAUAUUUAAAGAUUUAUCACUUAAAGAUGGCUGUGCGGCUGAUUAGGUAGUUGGUGUGGGUAACGGCCCACCAAGCCAGCGAUCAGUAACUGGUGUGAGAGCACGACCAGUCACACGGGCACUGAGACACGGGCCCGACUCCUACGGGAGGCAGCAGUAAGGAAUAUUGGUCAAUGGACGCAAGUCUGAACCAGCCAUGCCGCGUGAAGGAUGAAGGCGUUAUG
rnacentral:rRNA from 1 species